rnacentral:misc_RNA from 1 species
AGUGGUCAGCUCCUCUCAAAUGAAUCAGCUUGCCAGUGUUUGGUGGGAUCGCAGGUGUGAUAACUAUCUACGCUUGUGGUUUUCCGUCAGGUAACCUUCAGUGAUGGAGGUUCGCUGGAGCUCAUAAACGUCUCUCCUAAGCGAGGACAACUUUUUGAACGUUUGAUCUCAAAUCAGGUAGGACUACCCGCUGAACUUAA